UCUGUUGGUUCAAACUGCGGAAAUGCACCACGGGAUUCAAGAGUGACAUCAGGAUGGGGUUUGUGAUGAUUUCACCUAGGAGACGUCGCGUUUAGAGUUGAAUCCCAGAGCGAGCGAGCGCUUCCCCCUGUUAAGCAGUGGCUUAGGAUUUGUGAGAGAAAACAGGAAGACAUGACUGGCAGUGAC